rnacentral:lncRNA from 1 species
UAUUUGUAUACAUAACUCAAAGAGUGAUCAGAGACGAAAGGUAAGCUUCUUUAGUAUUUAAAGAAAUUAUUAAUUCAAUUCUAGUGUUGUGCUAGCUGUGUUUUUUGGAUUAUAAGCUGCAAGCAUAUGCAUAUGUAAAGAUGAGUCAUAUCACGAUGAGGUACUACAACAGAAUUAAUAGUCAUGGAAGGAGAUCAUCAUCAUCCUGCUGCAAAGGAAAAGGGUUUCGGAUCAACGUCUCAAAGACAAAGAGAUUUUCAGUACAAGGGUUACGUGCAAGGUUUGUGUAUUUGUUCAGGCUAUUAAGCAGGUGGAGAUUUUCAUAUGGCCGAGCUUUGAAAUCGCUAAUACUAAGUAAGAAGGAGAAGGGCAUCUUCGUCAACAUCAAGAGAAAUAACAGCAGCAGCAAGAGAAAUUUAGUGCCGAAUGUUAAUAGUAUGACCUCCCAGGGUCAUGAAUAUCAUCAACCAUCUGUAGGCUGUAGAUCAAUGAGAUCCUUUGGCCGCUCUAAUUCUUUCUAUGCGGAAGCCAUUGCUGAUUGCUUGGAGUUCAUCAAACGAUCCUCUACUCUUUCCGUCGACCAAAAACCUGCUGCGGCGUAAUAUGCUUGCCCACUAAUGUAAAUAUCUAUAAUAUAUUAUAGAGCUAGCUAGGUUCGUCCUAAAAAUUAAUUAGCUUGCAGAGUCAGUCAUAAUUAAUGUUCCCUUUUUUUUUUUGUUUUAAUUACAUUUAUUCAAUUUGUCUGCUUCACUUGAUUGAGGACACAUUUGCUUUUAGAUUUAGAGAGUACUGCUUGUUGUCUUUCUGUACAAAUGCAGCAUAUAUUAAUAUGCGCGGCCUUCUUGAGUUUAAUUCGGAAUGCCAUUUCCCCUUGUAUUAUUGCUUUAGAAACGAAUAAUGUGCAUCGUCAACAUAAUUUAAUUUUUCUUGGGUAGUAAAUAAAAAAUAAAAUAAAAGAGAGAAAAACAAACCUACGGCGGUGAUGAAGCAGCUGCAGGGUGGCAAUCUCGGGAAGGUUCAGAGUAGGUGGAAUUGAAGAUUCUAAUUUCUAAAGUAAGGAAUUUUCGACCUAACACAUUGUCAUUAUUUGACUAAUCAAACAAUCAGAAGAAAAAUUAUUUGAAAAUCGAAAGUUAAAAAGUAAAGCUUGUAACUUUAGAAGCAAGUGCCAUGAUAAUAUCUCUUGACUUCAAUCCAACAUGCCAAGUUACGCCUCAAUGCCUGAUGUUUGCCUCUUUCUUUUUCCUUUUGUAUUAUUUAAUUAAGGGAGGUUAGGUUAGGUUGGAAUAAUGGAAUUAACGGUCGCCCACUUUGCUGCGAAUCGCUAUCCGGGGUUCACACUGCUAAAGUGCUAAUGGUAAUCGACUUUUUCCGUCUGGGCCAAACUGACCCAAUAACUUGCUGCAUUACGGCUAUGUGGCCCAAAAUCGAACGGGGUUUUGCCGACUUUGUGAUUGUGGGCGUCAACAAGAUUUUGUAGGCUGGAAGCAACAAACCAAUAAGCGGCUACCUUCGAUGUCUGGUACAAAAAUAGAAGCGAAAUGGUACUUUUGACAUAAAAUUUAGGUGUGGGCCAAAUUCAAUUGGGCUCGGACUAUUUUUAUUUUGAGUUUGAUUCGGUUCGACUUAUUCAAUGUAAUUUAUUUAGUUUUUCUUAUAUUUUAGCUCCUCAGUCACAUUCAACCAAGAAAUGAAAUGUAUAAAAAGUAAGGCAAGUAAAGUAUUGGAAUUGGAACAAAGCAUGCCCACAAAGGAAGCAAAGCAAAUUAAAAAAAAAGGAGUAAAAAAUAAAAUAAUAAUAAUAAUAAUAUACUUUAUCCUUACUUGUGUACUUUGCAUUCUAUUUACACAUUUAAAUUGAACAAUGAAUAAGUGGGCAAAUGAAUCUUGGUUGCACAGAAACAUUUUUUUCUUAGCAAAAAUAGCAUGAUAUAGAUUAUAAUAGAAGUCCUAAUAAGCUGAAAUCAUGGAUUUUAAUUAUAAUCUAUUUAUUUUUACGUCAAUCAAGAUUUAGCAUAACUCAUUUUUUCAUCUCCUCAUACAGAGGCAUAGCCGCCGAGCAAACAUCGAAGGGAAGGGAAUGUUUGAAGUAAUCUAACCGGUGGAGAAAAGGAUGGCAUAUCAAAAGAUAUGGGAAACAUUAUAAUUUUAGGCGUUAAGCAUGUUAUACACAUGAUGAUUGAUUGUGAUUGAUGUUGUGGCGGCAAAUCUUUGCUUUGAUUUGAUUAAAGCAUCUAGAAAUUUAGAAAAGCAGACACUUUUCUCCCACCGCCUGAAGUUGGGAGCGCGUUUUGGCGCCCAGAGUCAAAGCGAAAACCAAAAAUAAAACGUGUGCUGGUGGUGUGGUGUGGCCCGUGUGGGGAAAAGGAAUAAAUAAAUUUCUUGAUUUUAUAAAUACCAUGAGUUAUAGAAGCCCUAAUGGUAAUACUACUCUUAAGCUGAGAUCACUGCUGACCAAAGCACGAACCUUUUUUGGAAUUGUAACUACUUCCUCCGCCGCGGCGGCCGCUUCUUUUUCCGCAACCACCGCUCCCAAGAUCAGCAACGCCAUGGACGAAAUACAAACCCUCAAGACCAAAGUCUGCAUCAUCGGCAGCGGCCCCGCCGCCCACACUGCCGCCAUCUAUGCCGCCCGAGCCGAGCUCAAACCCAUUCUCUUCGAGGGCUGGAUGGCCAAUGAUAUUGCGCCUGGUGGCCAACUCACCACCACCUCCGACGUCGAGAAUUUCCCCGGUUUUCCCCAGGGCAUUCUCGGGGGCGACUUGAUGGAUCGCUGCCGCAACCAGUCUCUCCGUUUCGGCACCCAGAUUUUUACCGAGACCGUUUCCAAAGUCGACUUCAAAUCCCGCCCUUUUAAAGUUUUUACAGAUUCCAAAUCCGUUCUUGCUGAUACUGUUAUUGUCGCCACCGGCGCCGUUGCCAAAAAGUUGCAAUUCCCCGGUUCAGAUGCGUUCUGGAACCGUGGCAUAUCGGCCUGCGCAGUGUGUGAUGGAGCCGCUCCGAUAUUUCGGGACAAACCCUUGGCCGUGAUUGGUGGCGGGGAUUCAGCCAUGGAAGAAGCCAACUUUUUGACAAAGUACGGAUCAAAAGUUUAUAUAAUUCAUAGGAGGGAUAGUUUUAGAGCUUCGAAGAUUAUGCAAAACAGGGCACUUACGAACCCUAAGAUUGAUGUGAUUUGGAAUUCGGUUGUUAUAGAGGCUUAUGGAGAAGGGGAUAAGAAGGUUCUGGGAGGAUUGAAGGUGAAGAAUUUGGUGACUGGACAGGUUUCUGAUUUGAAGGUGUCUGGCUUGUUCUUUGCCAUUGGACACGAGCCUGCUACUAAGUUUGUGGAUGGUCAGUUGGACCUGCAUUCUGAUGGUUAUAUUAUUACCAAACCUGGGACUACACACACUAGUGUCCCUGGAGUUUUUGCUGCUGGAGAUGUUCAGGAUAAGAAGUACAGGCAGGCUGUUACCGCCGCCGGCACUGGUUAGUUCUCUCUUACACUCACGCCCUCAUGAAUUUUGAUAUCUAUUUCUAAACACUUCAUUAUUUAUUGAGCUAAACUAUGUGCACUAGAGUCUUUUGGGCUUUGGAACUUGCAAAAUUCUCCCAAGUUUGACUAUCACCUAAUUGUAUAAUUUUUGAGAUACUACUCUUUUUGGCAUAUAAGCUGAGAAAUUCUCCUAAGUUUGACUACCACCUUAUUGUAUAACGGGAUUGCCAUACACAAUACUAAUCCAAUGAAAUUUGUAUUUUGGCUCCAUCUUUUGGUACUCAUUUAUUUGUUAUACUUUAUCAUUUCACUUGUCCUGGUUGAGCUUAAACUCAAGCAAACCUCCAUCUGGCUAGAUUAGGUUUAAAAUUUGUGCAAGUCCAGGUCCAGGUAUCAGUUUUGUUCGACAACUUUUGAUUAUGCAAUCAAAUGGGUUGUUUUGCUUAGCCUAGGCUCUGCUCGCUUCAUUAGUCUGGCUGAGGUGAGAUGGGCUUUAGCUUGAUUGAUGAUCUUUAACCUUAGAGAUUCCAUGUAUAGCAUGAGCCUUGAAGGCAACCUCUAUUCAUUAAUUGAGGUCAUACUUUUUGCGUGGCCUAUAGAGAGGUUGGUGAUACUUUUUGCUAAUGGAUAAAUAAUUUGACAGAACUUGACGAUCUUCAGUCAUGUAUAAAAGUUGACAUCAUCUGCACUUCACGAAUAAUCAUAGUAUGAUUACUUUGGUGGCGGUAUACUAUGGGACUCAGAACUUAUGUAGGAUUUUUAGAUGGUAGAAUACAUGGGUGGUUACCUAAAAUAAAACAAGUGGAACUGAAACUUGUUUUCUCUUCAUUUCUAUUCAGUUGAUGGCGCAUAUAAGUCAUUGUUGUUGAUGACUCACUGUGUAGCACAUCAUAUCUACCGUCAUUGUAUUGUAUGCCAUCUAAGAUUGUGCUCUGAGUUAACAUACUAAAUGCAAACUUAUCGUGGUCAGUAUGGAAAAUCAUCUUUACAAUUGAGUACCUUGUGUUGGUUAAGCUUUCUGAAGACUUUGAAAUCUUUUGUUUUUGCAGGGUGCAUGGCAGCCUUGGAAGCUGAGCAUUACUUGCAAGAGAUAGGAUCUCACGAGGAUAAGAGUGAAUCUUCACUGUAGGAUAAUGGCAGGGCUGGGAUAUGAUGAAAGCAGAAUAGUCUACAUGCAAACUUGAUCUAAAUCUACCUCUGAAUGAAGAAGGCCUUUUCUCGACCAAUUCAAGUGAUGAAUCAGUACUGUCUUGGUGACUUAUUUAUUGGCUUCCAAUAGUUGGUUGGAAAAACUAAUUGGAUAAGGAAUUUGUUUUAAGUUGGUAUUAGUGCUGCAUUUUAGAAUGUAAUUGUUGGUUGGAAUUUUUUAAGAAUAUAUUAUUCUUUACCUUAUUGUCAUCAUAAAUCUAUUGAUAUUUAACAAUUAGAAAUUUCCUAGAUGAAGCCUGGUAUGACAUUGUUAAGAUUUCAACCAUUAAUAAUAUUGGAGGGCCAUCUACUACUGGCAGACUCGCCCAAAUCUUCUCAUAAAAACUUACUCGUAUGAGAUGAUUUGCUACUUCAAACUAAAACUUGCUGUAGCUUGUGGGUAGAUUUGAUAUUGAGAAAAUUCCGCUGGAUAUCCAUGUCGGUAUCUAUCAACUUGCAUUCUUUUUAUUUUAAUUAUUUAUGAUUUUAAUUUUAAUCAUAAAAGUUAGAAAAUUUUAAUGAUAAAUAUAUAUAGGUUAAAGUCUUAAUUCUUAAAGAUAGUUUGUAAAGGAAAACACAAAGUUUACAUGGUUUGGCCUUUGGCCUACAUUUACGGGAGCAAUUAAUCAUCAAUCUACUAUAUAAAUAAGAGAUUACAUAAGAUUUCACGUUAUACAAGAUGAAUAACAUAAGUUAGAUAGAUAGAUAGAGAUAAAGAUGAAGAUAGUGAAUAAAGAUAUGGAGAGUGAUAAUAUGGUGAAGAGGAUGGAUGAUAAAUGUGGAAAAUAUAAAUGGUCUUCUAAAAAUGAAGAAGUGGGCGAUGAUCUAAAAGAUGAAGAAAAAGAGAGUGUGAGAGAGAGACAAGAGGAGAGGAGAGGAGGAGAGGAGAUGAUGCCAUGUCCUAAUGUGAAAAAAUAUUUAUAAAUUCUAGUAAUAAGAAGAAUGCAUAAAAGUUAUGGCUGAAUGUCAUCUCUAAUAAGGGGAUAUUUUUAGAGGUAUGUGUCAUAUUUAAGGAAAAAAUGAUAAGGAUAUUCAUUUUGUACUAGGUUAUCUUUUCUCAUAAAUAUCUUAAAGUAUCCAACCAUGACCAUUAAUUUCCAGCCUAAACAAUGUAGUGAAUUAUUCCAAAUGAUAUUUUUAUGUAUUUUAUCAAUUUCAUCCUUAUUAUUGUCCAUGUGUCAUUCAUUUGUUAGUCUAAAGUAUAAUUCCAAAUAUGUAUAUAAUAAGCCUUUAAUUAGUAGACAUUUUAUAAUUUUCAAGUUUAAUAUUACUAAUAUUUUGUUUUAACUUUAUUAUUAUUAUUAUUAUUUUACUUUACUUUAAUGACUUGAAAUUAAUUAUUACUUACUAAAGUUGGAUUUUUAUUUGUUUAAUUUAUUGUACACGAUAGUUGUAUAAAAUUUUUACUUACUAAUAUUAUUGAUAAUACUUAUAUAAUAAUACUUAUAUAUUGAUUAAAAGAUGAAGUAACACAUUGAUAUUAGUGACGAUAACUUGCCUACUACAGAAAUAUUUUGUAUUAAAUUAAUAUAUCUUGUGAAUUGUUUUAAUGUUGAAUUUUAAUUUCUUAUCUACAUUGAUAAAUUUAGAAUUGAGUAUUAUAUGUGGAUUUUUAGGCUGUUAUUAUAAAUUUAUAGUUUGAAUUAUAUAAUUUAAGUUUUUAUAUAUUAUUAAAGUCAUUGUUUUAAUAUUUACAAUUUUAAAUGAUAAAACCUAAAAAAAAAAAAUCCGCUGUCGAUUGUAGGUAGAUUUAGUAAUUGCUAAACUCGCAACAGGCAAAUUGUUUUUUAAAUAAAAAAAUAAAACCCGUUGCAGAUUAUAAAUAGGUUUGAUGAUUUAAUUUUUUUGUGGAUACAGAGUUUGGUAACAGUAAAUUCGUAGUGAGUAGUACCCAUGGGCAUCCCUACCUGGAUUGCAUGGCUAAGUUCAAUGAUGAAACUGACGACAAUGGGGGGGGGGGGGGGGGGAGGGGGAGUGGUCUCGUUUACACAUCCUCACACGAAAAUAUGAAUAUAUAAUCAUUCCGACGAUGACCAUCACGAGCCAGGUGUCUAUAUAUAUAUAUAUAUAUAAUGUUCUCGAAUCAGUUUUUAAUUUGUAUGAUCCUAUUAGUUGUGUGAUGAUUACGUUUAAAAAUUGAACAAACUUAGUUUGUAUUCCGCCGCAUUUUUUUGGGAUUUAGGUCAAGAAUUAGUUUUCCCAUUCAAAUGUUAUGCAAAUACUGUAUUGGUUGGGAGUUUGGGGCGUCUCCUCCUGGUCCAAGUAAGCAUCAACACAUGGGACGGGCCAAGCCCAUUUCAUAUAACCAGCGCAUUAGCAUUAUGGAUCUUGCUAAAGUCUAUGGUGGAGUUCAAGGGAAACAUAUUUUGAGCUUAACCAGCAAAUAAUGAAAGGUAGUGGCUCAAAAUUAUCAUAAGUCGACUUCCACUUUUGAAUUCAGCAUUAGCUUGCUAGCCAUACGAAAAAGAAGAAAGUUGCCAUAUCUCAAUCAAAUGAAUAAUGAUGUAAUAAAAAUGGUUGGACCAAAAUUGAAUACAAACCAGCCCAGUGUACCAGUUGCUAUGUUUGAGAUAUAGGCCCAAUCGGCAGUGAUUGAGUUGAUGUUGGGCCCAAUUUGAAUACGAGAAGAGAUUAGAAAUGACAGAAGAAGUAGGUGUGUGUGUUGUAUGGAUGCGGAAAAGGAGAGGAAGAAAAAGCCUAAGUGAGAAUGAUGUUUGUUGAGUGUUGGCAAAGGAAAUGUCUGACAGCCCACACACUCGUUUAGUCCUUCUUUCCGAAUUGAAUGUCUCUUUCGCGAUAAAGUACAGGAGGCAGGCAGGAAGCUUAGCUAUUAGCUUAUUUAUUUUGGACACCUUCAACUAUCCUUUAUCUUUUACUAUUAAAUUUUUUUUCCCCUUUUUUAUUACAUCGCGAUUCAUUUUGAUUGAUUGUAACUAUUCACACACACACAACACAAUCACAGCGUAUGUCCAUUUCUCCUGCAACCCGACUGCAGAAUUUGUCCCUUAUGAUUGAGAGAUUAUUAUCAAUAAUAACUAAAUACAAGAAGCAAAUUAACUUCUUCUUCUUUUUUCCUUAAUAAUAAAAAAUAGAUAAAAGCAGAGAAUCUUUUUGAUGGGAGGGGAGGGUAAUUCCGAAACUUGUAGUUUUUUCUUCCUUUCUUUUAACUUUGAAGUUAAAAUUUAUAAUUAAUUAAUUUUGUUAACUACUAUUAUCACCAACAGUUAAGUUAAACUAAUAUGCUGUUGAGUUUCAAAAUUCCAAGUGAGAUGAAAGCGCUUCUUCUUGUAUUGUAUUGUAUUAUUAUAUUGUAUGUGUGUAUAAAUAAAGGCUAACAAGAAGAAGAAGCAAUUAUAAGUUAAAAAGUUAAAAAGGAAGGAAGCUGAAAGCAAUCGCUUUUAAGUUUUAACUGUUUUGGUGGGCUUGAUCUUGAUGGCUGGUGCGUAUGGAGCAGAAGCAGACAGCGCAAACCGGAAGUUAUUCGUUGGAGGGUUGGCGUGGGAGACCAACAGCGACACUCUCCGCACUUACUUUGAGCAGUUUGGGGACAUUCUUGAAGCCGUCGUUAUCACUCACAAGAACACCGGCCGUUCCAAAGGCUACGGUUUUGUAUGCACCUUCUUUCUUAUUUGUGAUUUGUCACACUUUUAUGCAAAGCUAGCUGCGAUUACUUUGAUGGCAUGAUGCUAACACUAUUAGUUUGUUUUUUUUUUUUGUUUUUUUUUAUUUGCUGUGAUUCUUUCUUUUUCCAAUUUUAGGUGACAUUUCGUGAUCCGGGGUCAGCUCUGAGAGCUUGUGCCAACCCAAGUCCUAUGAUUGGUGGGCGUAAAGCUAAUUGUAAUCUUGCUCAUUUAGGCCGAACUCGACCAGAUCUGCCCUCUUUUGGUAUCUUUCUUCCAUUUCUUGAGAUUUUUUUCCCCUUUUCAAUUUUUUUUCAUUAAUCUGUACGAGAACCCUAAUGCUCACUUGUAAUUGCUCUUCUGUGGUCCAUGAUGUAUGGUUACUUCAUCACAACUCAGUGUUUAAUAUAGAAUAUUGCAAGUGUUUUAGAAAUGGAUAGGAAUCUGUGUAAAGCUGGCUCAGAGUGGCUGCAUCCAAAUCCUAUAAGGAUACAGGUUUUAUUCAUUAUUAUUAUUAUUAUUUUCACUUCUGGGUGUUCUUUAAAAUGUCCUAUACUGUGUACAUUACAAUUACAAAGUGGCUGCAAUGGUUAGGGGAGUGAACCCUAUAUUGUAUACAUAUUGCUGUUGUGGGGGGCACAAAUUAGUCUUAGAGAUCAAGAAUGACUCUUGUGUUGUGCCUCCGUCAACCUCUAUGUUCUGUGUUCCUUGUUUCUAAAAUUUCAAUGUCUCUUUUGUAGGGCAUCCAAGGCCAUCAUCUGCAGCCCCUCUCUUUGGAAGUCCUGGUCACCACCAACCGGUUUCUUACAAUUAUCAAUCUGCGUUUAUGCAUCCGCAUCCUUAUUGGUGAGUUGGAUGUUCUAGUCAAACAUUUUUCUAUGGCCUUUUAAGCCCACUGGGUCUGUUGAGAUAAAAUUGUUAUUCUGCUUUGAAGUACAAAAGGAGCCAACUGAUAUAAUUUAAUACUCUAUUGAUGUUUCCAGGUGCUAACUGCUUCAAAACUUUUGUCCUUAUAGUACAAUAACUUUUGUCCUUUUGCUCUCUGGACGUUCAUUCAAUUUCUUUUAUGCAGGUAUACAGCAUAUGCACCUGGAUAUUUCAACCCGCAGGUCAAUAUCCAUAAUAUAGUUCUAUUGAUGUGCAUGGUUACUAGGACUACAAAAUUAUGCCAACUAGCCUGCUAAUCUGCUUUGAUUAAUUGUUCUUUUACAGGGUCUCUACAAUCCUUAUGUGGGUCAGCAUUACCUUCCACUUUAUGGGGCCCCAGGAACAGUUAACUCUGGUAUGUACUCACACGGACAACUGGGUCAUCACUUUCCUGGCGGUCAUGACAACACAGUGGUUCGUGGCUAUGGGAUGCUGGGUCAUCAUAUUGUGCCGUAUGGUGGGCCUAAUGACAAUGGAUUGACCUCAGCUGCAUUUCCCAUGAUUCAACCGCCACAUACUGCAGGUAAUAAUCUCUUCCUAAGAAGCCUUUCAUGCUCGUCUAUGAAGUUGGGGCGUACUGGACUCUAAAUGUCAAUUUGUGAUGCUAUUGUAGAUCAAAUUGGCAAUACUGUGAUGCAUACAUGAUACUGUAAAAGCAUAGCAAUACAACUUCACAUAAGACAAUGUGUUGGUAAAGCAAUAUUGUUCUUCUGAAAAAAUCUUCUAGCAAAUUAUACAAAUAGCUAUUAUGCUGAGAUCUUAUUACGUACACAUUGUAUCCAAUAUUCCAAUGGCUAUUUGCUUUAGACUUUGUUGUUUGUAUUUGUAUGAGUGAAAUCCAGGCUAUGGAAUAUGAGGCCUAACCAUGUAAUUUCUUAUGUAAAAAUAGGUGUUAAGAUCAUUUCCUUGCUUUUUACAGGAGUAUCUGACAACUUUAGGACAGGCUCAGAUAACAACUCACCUGCUUUCUCCUCCAAUCGCUAGCAGUACUGAACUGGCCACAAGGAAGGUCUAAUGGUAGACUAGAACAUUCACAUCUUGAGGUGGAAACUGCCAUUUUACCUACCUCGUCUAUGUGAUUUCUCUGUACAUCUUAUAUUCAGUAUUUAGGUAACCCAUGAACUGCAGCUGGACAAAGAGCAACGCACUGUUACAUGAGUUUAGGCUUCAACUAUAUCCUCACAAUUUAUUGGCUUUGCUUUCUGAUUCUGGAGGUAGGUUUCUAUAAUGUCCUGUUUUGUAUUUAUGUCUCCAUGAAAUAAAGGCUCUGCAUGUUUAAAUGCUAUGUGUGAUUGAUGAUAUAUUUAGUUAGAAUGGAAAAAGUCAAUUAGCCAUGGACGCUUCAUCUGUAACUGAGACUUUACCGAGGGAAAAAAAAGAGUUUAAAUUUUAGAUAUUUGUUUGUGUGUGUUUGUUAGAGUUUUUAUUUACUACUUACUGGAAAGGCAUUCACAAGAAAUUGUGAACAUAAGAGAUAGUUAUUUGCAUCAGCAUGCUGUCUUAUUCCCAAUUGUUGGUUACACCACGCCUCCAAUCAUAGAGCUAUGAAUGAACUUUCUUUGUUUUUAAAACAUUGCAGGUCAUCAUCUUUAGUCUUGGUUAACAAUGAAGAAACAGUUGUACAUACAUUGUUGUCAAAGUCACUGGAGCGGUUGGGAGGAGCUCAUUCGAGGAUGUUUUGCUGCAGCCAUGAAUGUCAGUCAUGUGGAUUUACUUGUAAAUAAUAAUGUCUUAAAGCCUUUGAUCUUUGAUGUGAUGUGAUUGAUGCCAUGUAAAUAACUUGUCAUUAAUCAACCAUUCAUUAAUAUUCUUGGAUAAUUUUUAUCUGAUAAUCACAUCACAGGUAUCGUGCGAAACAAUAUAUAUAUAUAUAUUUGAAUUUUUGAGUAAAGGCUUAAAAGAGUGUGGCGGAGGGAAAGCAACUGAUAUACACUCGAUGUUCUUUGAUUCACAAACAGAACGGUAGUGAUCAGAAUUUGCAUGAACUUGAAUAAAAAGUUGCAGCAGAAAUGAAUUUGUGACGUUGCUUUCUUUCUUUCUACUGACUGAUGGUAAAUUUAAAAUUUAAAGGAUAAGAAAGACGUAACAUACGAAAAGGCACAUACGUACCGAUCCAUUAACCACAGCCAUACAGCUUUGUACUUUGUACCCAGUUAGUAGAGGAAGAGGGGCAUAGAGUCUGAUAUGGGUCGAGUCCAUAAAGAAAGAGAAAGCCUGGCCCAACCGGGAUUGUAUUAUCGACUCGGAUUGAAGCUUUGAAACAAAGUCAGAACUGAGAAGAAGAAGAAAUGGAAGAGUACCCAGAAGAAUGGCGGACACCGCCGGUGUGUUUAAUAUCAGUGGUGGGAUUGGCAGAGCAUGAGCAUCACCGCUUGAUCUCAACACACUUGCUCUCUGAGCAGCCACCUACCAAUACUUUAGCCUUGCCCGACUUGUCUAAACUCCUCCACCUUUUAUCCAAAAAACCAAAGCAACCACCCGAUGCCACGUCAUCUUCUUCACCCGCUGCCGGGAUACUCAAGCGCGAUUGGCUAAUGAAACAUCGCACCAGAGUCCCUUCCGUUGUGGCCGCUCUUUUUAGUUUCGAUCAGGUCUACGGAGAUCCUGCUCAGUGGCUUCAGGUCUGCUCCGAUCUCGAUCUUCUUAAGGCCGCUAUUAAGCCCAGGAAUAUCAAAUUGGUUGUCGUCGUUGUUAACGAUACACUUAGCGAUCAUAAUGACGUUUAUGAAGAGCGCUUUAUUGCUCUUCGUAAGCGCGCCGAACUUGAUUCCAAAUACAUUCUUACUUUUAAUCCCAACACCGCUUCCGAUCUUCAAAUUUCUCUUAACAGGUUACAUUUUUCUAUUUUCUUUUCUUUUCUUUUCUUUUUUGUUCGGUUGAUUGAUUGAUUUCUUUCAUUUACAUCUUAUUGAGAGAUUCAGCAAUCGACAUUUCUUUCUUUCUUUCUUUGUUUCAAUCAAGGCUGGCGAGCAUAUUUGGGGAGUUGUCUCUUGCUUAUUACAGAGAUGAAGGAAGAAGAAUUAAAACCCGUGUAGAAAAGAAGACCCUCAAUGUCAAUUCUAUUGACUUGAAUAUUCGCUAUUGCUUUAAAGUAUGCAGUAUAACUUGCAAGUUUAGACAACAGUUCCCCCUCUUUUCAUUUUUCUCAUCUGUUAUUGUGUUUCAAUCACACAUUUCUUAUCCAAUUACUUUGAUUUCCUAGGUUGCUGUAUACGCUGAAUUUCGAAGAGAUUGGGUUGAAGCUUUGAGGUUUUAUGAGGAUGCUUAUCAUAUGCUGCGGGAGGUAUUUUCUUCUUAUAUACGUACUCUUUUCGCUAUCUCUUUUAUCUGUUAUUUUGUUACUCAACCUACUUAGUCAUUGUCAUUUUCUUAUGCUUAUACUUGAUUUCUGCGUUCAGAUGAUUGGAACAUCAACAAGGCUGCCGCCAAUUCAACGGUUGGUUGAGAUUAAAACUAUCGCCGAGUUAUUGCAUUUUAAAAUAUCAACCGUGUUAUUACAUGGUGGAAAGCUCAAAGAAGCAAUUACAUGGUUCCAUCAGCACAAUGCUUCGUACAAGAAGCUGGUCGGUGCACCUGAAGUUGUUUUCCUUCACUGGGAAUGGUUAAGCAGACAAUUUUUGGUAUUUGCUGAGUUACUGGAUACAAGCUCUGUGCCAGCUCAAAGCAUUUCAUCCCUAGUUUUAGCCACUGCGGAUAGACCUUUGACCGAGUUGGAAUUUCAUCCAUCUUAUUACUAUCAGGUCUUCUUUACCUUCUCGCAUGUUGGAGAUUUUAUUUAUUAGUAUUAUACUUAGCCUGAAAAUCACCUUCUCUUGAAAUGCUAUAUACCAUGCAGUCUGUUUUAUUGUUCUCUCACCCUUUCCAUUUAGAGUGUGUGCUAAUAUGACUUUUGCCAACAUUACAUUUAAAUGUACUUACAAUAGAAGGAAAUAAAAUAAAAUAUGAGCCUGAAUUUUCAUAUAUUGACCAUUUCAUUAAUUGCUAUCCCAUGUACUGAUACCAUAACAUGUGUGAUAUUCGCUCAACAACAUCGAAUCAUACACAAUGCUGCCCUCCUAGAUUCUCGAAAAGUUAUAUUAAUGGCUUAAACGUAAAAUUUAAAAUAUUCCUUAGCUGUCUGCAGCUCUCCUUGUGUAGUAUCUUCAGAACUACUCUGCAUCAGUGAACGUUUAGAUUUGUAGAAUGCUUUGAUUUUUUUGACCUACCAUAUUGAUAGUAUGAAUAAUCAUACUCCAAGUGCUUUUUUUUAUCUGCAUACUACUUCAUGUGCCAUUCAGAACUAUCAUUUAGAAGUCCAUGUAAUAUUUUUCCUUAACAAAUUAUACUUGUUAAUGAGCUAAAUCAUAACAAUUAGUCUUAAAACAGUUAGCUGCACAUUACUUGAAGGAGAAAAGAUCAUCAUUGGAAAUUGCUUUGUCGAUGUCAGAAUCCGCGUCUGAGCUUGACAGCAGUGCUGAUUCUGUAGCACCUUCGGUGUAUAUUGGUCAAUUUGGUCGAUUACUUGAGCAAGGGGAUACUGUUACUAUGCUGCCGUAUGUCAUAACAUUUGAAUGUGUUGAACAUUACUGUCAAUUGUAUCAUUUCUUUUAUUUACAAAUCAAUGCCUUUUACUUUCAUCUCAUUUUGCAGUCUUACAGAUGAAGAUUACACCCGCUAUGUUAUUGCAGAAGGGAAAAGGUUUCAAGAUACCUAUGAAAUUCUUGCUCUGCUAAAAAAAUCUUGUGAAUCAUAUGGUAAUCAUAAAGCUCGAAGGAUGGGCUCUUUUUGUGGAUUCCAGAUGGCUGUUGAGUAUUUUGCUUUGGGUGAUUUCAAUAAUGCGAAACAACUUUUUGAUGGUGUUGCAAAUCAAUAUAGGCAAGAGGGGUGGGUUACCUUAUUGUGGGAGGUCUUGGGUUACCUAAGAGAAUGCUCAAGGAAACAAGGCAUAGUUAGAGAUUUUGUAGAAUGCUCGUUGGAGAUGGCUGCCUUGCCAGUGUCAUCUGGUACAGAUGCGCAGCCUUUUAGUUUUAAAGAAUGUGGUCCAGCUGGGCCCCCUACUCUCUCACAGAGAGAAAUUAUACACAAAGAAGUUUUUGAGCUUGUCAGCAGGGAAGUAGGGCUGGUGUCAGUUGAAGACAAUAACUGUAUCAAAAUAAGUAGAGAUAAUCCUCUCCAUCUUGAGGUUGAUCUUGUUAGUCCCCUUAGAUUAGUAAUUCUUGCUUCAGUCACUUUUCAUGAACAAAUAAUCAAGCCCGGUGUAUCCACCUUGAUUACGGUGUCACUUCUAUCACAAUUACCCCUUACUGUCGAGAUCAAUCAAUUAGAAAUCCAGUUCAAUCAAUCUGAGUGCAAUUUUGUCAUCAUAAAUGCUCAGAGACCUUUAUUAGCCGCAACGAAUGAUGGUCUACAGGUUCAUCGAGCAGAGAGUACACCUUUGAUACUUAUUACUAACAGAUGGCUACGCUUGACGUAUGAAAUUAAAUCCGGUAAGUAAGGUGUUCGUUUCUGCACCGUCUCGUUUUAUUUUAUUUUUUUGUGGAAUAAUUCUUUAGGUACAGUUUGACACACGCAGAGUUCCUUAUAUCAACAAAAAUUGUUUAACCUGGCAAGUCUUAAAUUUACUGAUUGCAUAAGCUGAUUCAUGCCAGUCAGAUCUAGUUCUGUUGGGGUUUACACUCAAAAAGUCUGAUAAGCCCUCGAAAUCAAAAUUUCAUGAUAUGAUGUGUUCUCCAGCUCUGAUACUCAGUUGGCAAUAAAUAAUAGCAAUUAGAAUCUUGGGUUGGUGGCUGCCAGGUUUAUAUUUUCUAUUAUCAGGUCGUUUUCAUGUCAUGCAAGCAAAUGCUUUUAACCAGGAUUCACGAGUCCUAAACCUGCUUCUUCCAGAAAUUUGACCGUUGAAUUGGCACACCUAUUUGCCAAGUUGACCUAAGAUCCUGGUGUUAAGGCAAAGCUCGAUAUUCAAAUGUUGAGUCAUUCCUGGCAUGCACUGGAAUUUCCAGUGCUAGUAGUACUGCAGUAAUUCUGUUUUUUUUUUUCCAUCAUGUAUCACUUUAUUUUGUCUAAGAUAACUUUUGAAUUUAUCCAGAACAAAGUGGAAAGCUUGAAUGCAUCUCUGUAAUUGCAAAAAUGGGGCCACACUUCACAAUCUGUUGCAGAGCUGAAAGUCCUGCUUCAAUGGAGGAUUUACCUCUUUGGAAAUUUGAAGACCGUGUGGAGACUUUUCCAACCAAGGAUCCUGCUCUUGCAUUCUCUGGUCAAAAGGCUACCCAUGUUGAAGAACCUGACCCACAAGUAGAUGUUGAUUUAGGUGCCUCUGGCCCUGCAUUGGUUGGUGAGAGCUUCAUGAUACCUGUUACUGUGGCAUCGAGAGGCCAUGACAUCUACUCUGGUGAGUUGAAGAUCAAUCUGGUGGACGUAAAAGGAGGUGGCUUGUUCAGUCCAAGGGAAACUGAGGCAUCCUCAAUGGAAAGUCAUCACGUUGAACUUCUUGGCAUUGUUGGGCCAGAAGAGGAAGAGUUGGGUCCCGGCGAAAUUGAGAAAAUUCAGCAAUCUUUUGGAUUGGUUUCUAUUCCAUUCCUAAAAAGUGGAGAGUCAUGGUCCUGCAAGCUAGAAAUCAAGUGGCAUAGACCCAAACCAGUUAUGCUUUUCGUGUCUUUGGGUUAUUCACCACUUAACAAUGAAUCAACCGCACAGAAGGUCCAUGUCCACAAGAGCUUGCAAAUUGAAGGAAUGGCUGCCAUUGCCGUAGGCCAUCGCUUUAUGCUUCCUUUCCGCCGGGAUCCAUUGUUGCUCUCAAGGAUCAAGCCAGUCUCUGAUUCUGAGCAGUUAGCAUCACUUCCCCUGAAUGAAACAAGUCUGCUUAUUGUCUCUGCCAAGAACUGCACUGAGGUCUCAUUGCAGUUACAAUCAGUGGCUAUUGACAAUGAGGAUGGCGACAGUGAAAGGGUAUGUUCUGUGCAACAUGGAGGCGAAAAUCUUUCAGGCCCUUCCCUUCUCAUGCCAGGUGAAGAGUUCAAGAAGGUAUUCACAAUUGUUCCCAAAGUUGAAUCUUCGAAGCUCGGGCUGGGAACAGUGUGUCUGAGAUGGAGGAGGGACUGUGGGAUUGAUGACCAUUCUGGUUCUUGCGAAACAGAAGCUUGGGUUGUGACUAAACAUAAACUACCUGAUGUUGAAGUGGAGUUAUCACCUUUAGUUGUGAGCUUGGAAUGUCCUCCUUAUGCUGUCCUUGGAGAACCCUUCACAUACACGAUUAAAAUUUGGAAUCAGACUAAGUUGCUUCAAGAGGUCAAGUUCUGUGUGGCAGAUGCACAAAGUUUUGUGUUGUCUGGGGUUCACAAUGACACAGUGUUUGUUCUUCCAAAAUCCAAGCACAUCCUCUGUUACAAAGUUGUGCCACUUGGUUCAGGUUUGCUGCAGCUACCCAAAGUUACUGUGAUCUCGGUUAGGUAUUCAGCCGAGUUUCAAGCAUCUAAUACUGCAUCUACUGUGUUUGUUUUUCCUUCGAAGCCUGAUUUUAAGGUGGCGGCGGAUGUUGGAAAGAGAGAGAUGGAAUCUAUUGCAAGUGAAUAAAUACUGUCCUUGUAUUAUAUACAUUUUUUUUAAAAUAAAAAAUUAUUAAUGAUUUACUUUUUGCUAUUAUUAAUAUCGGCUUUGAAUUGGUGUGGCUGGUUUAUUGCUGCUGGCUGGUGUGAAUGUAUGGGGUAGGGGAUAUGUUGGUGACUAAAGCAACGAUGUACUGGGGAGGAGAUUCAUUCAUUCAGAAAGUCUGAGAUCGGUCUGAGUCGUCUGACACUGAAGCUAUCCAACCAAAUAGACACACUCACUGAUCCAUUUCAGGUUGGAUCUGGAUCUGGAUCUGGGUUGUAUUGUAUAGUUGCUUGCAUUUAAUUGAGGAAAUGGUAGUGCAUCUCGGUUCUCGUCGAUUUUGGGUUGGUUUGGUUUGUCAGGAUGAGGUUAAUUUAAUGAGAAUUAUUUAUACUAUGGUUAUAUGGAUUUGUUAUUUGUAUCAGCAAAUAAUAGACAAAUCAUCUUGUUGUAAAAGUACAAUGGUGGAAACAAAGUGCUGUCAACGUGGAUGACUGGAGUAGAUUUCUUAGGGUAGGUUUAUAGGUUGUGCCUCAGUAGAUUUAAUCUAAAUUAUCCCGGUAAAUUAUAAUAUACAUGAAAUAAACCAAAGCAAAGGUAGAGAUGACACCGAAAUCAAAUCAAUGUAUUCCUAUUCUCCUUUCAAUCGCCCAGCCCGCCCGGGGGGAGGGGGGGGGGGGGGGGGCGGGUUUGUUGUUGUGUGGAAGAAUUAAAAAAAAAAAAAUCAUUGUAUUCUGAUAUAUUUGUCUUUGGGAAACCAAUACAAUUCCAUCACAAUUUUAACGUGGACCGAUCUUUUUAAAUGAGCAAACGAUCAACGCACUUCCUAUCCUAACCAUUUCUCGUGAUUUAUUUAUUUAUAUAUUUAGUUCUACUUCAACAUAAAAUGGCUAAUUUCUUAUUAUUAUUAUUAUUAUUAUUUAUUGUAUUAAAAUUAAAUAGAAGUGAAGAAAUGGAACUUAAUCGCUUUUUAUCCAAAACAAAAGGAAAAAUAAAUAAAUAAAUAAAGCUUUCAGACUUCCUUCAGUUCGAAACUUUGAUUCCAAAAGAGAGAGAAAAAUAAAUAAUAGAAUAUUGUAUUAUAAAAGUAGAUUUGAGGAAAGGUCUUCAGUCUUCACUACUCCCGUCCCCCGUCAAAUUAAAAUUUAGAAAGAGAGGAGCGCCUCGAGUGUGUGUGACUGUGAGAGAGAGAAGUACGAAGACCCGACCGUCCAGCGUGUCCGGCUUCCAGCCGCGUGUCCCGGUCGCCUCCUUGCCUGCCAAGCGAAAAGUGAACGUGAACGGUUCUCUUCUCUACUUCUACUCUAUUUGUUUAGACAUUAGGAGGAUCCUGUUAAACUCAAUACUACUUACUCAUCAUGCGUACUACUCCAUAACUCAUUUUCAUUCUUUUGUGUUUCUAUUGGAAAGAGAGAGGGAGUACUUCCUUUCCCGUUACAUGAGAGACGUAUCAUUUAUGCUUUCAGGUUGCUUUUUUAGGGUUUUAUACUUGGUGCGCGAUCAGUCUAAAAAUGCUCCACUGCUCUUUCAACUAACAAAUCCAACUUUCAGCCUUCGGCAGCAAGUUUCUGCUUUGUUUUGUUAUUUUUUUUUUCACUUUCUCUUCUUUCCUCUUUUGUUUGCUGAAUGGUUACCUGAUCAUCUUUUUUUUUUUUUUUUCAGAGGAGUAAGAACAACUAAGAAGGAUUAGAAAUGUUGUCAGACGCAGACGUUGAUAACAAGAUUCCAACUCAAGGUUAAUUUCAUUUCUUACUUAUCUACUUUCUAAGUAUCGCGUCUGGGGCUUAAGCUUAAGCUUAACUUAUGAUCUCAAUAUAAUUAAGAGGAAUUAUUUAAUGCGCAAUUUUGUUUCUUUUCUAUAGACUAUAAUCAUUAUCACACUGUACUUUAGGAUUACGGUAUGCAGAUGCUUCUGACUCUGAGUAUUAUAUUUUGCUUACCAAGGAUAAGAAACCGAUAUGCCGGACACGGUGCCUAAACCCUCCUGAACAUUUGUAUGCUUACUUCUUCUUUUUCUAAAUAUUAUUUACCUGUGCUUUUUCUUGGUCUGUUUAUGUUUCCUCCCCCAUUGUAAUAUUGUUUUAUUUUAUUUUUCCUUUGAUUGCGAUUAGAUAUAUACAUAACACGAAUCUAUGAACUGGACUUAUUUAUUAUUGACAGGCCGCACCACUGGAAUGUAAAUGAUAUUGUUCCAACAAGUAAAAUAAUCCUUGAUGGUAUGUCUCAUUGUUUCCUGAGCCCUGCGCCUGAGUGCUCUCGUGAUCACAAUGAGUGGAGGAGAUUUUUGAUUUAUCUGCAAGGCCGGGACAUGGUAAAGUGCUAUUGCUUCCUUUUUUCUUUUGGUUGUACUGAUCUUAUAACCUUUAUCUAUUUCUCCAGCAUACUAGUUGUCUUCUUAGUUCUCAAGUCUAAGCUUGUGCUGCUGCACUCUUUGCAUUACAUUCUUCUGCGUUACUACCAUUUAUUUAUUUUCCAAUACAAUUUCUUUUUUUAGCUUUUUUGACUGGCAGUAUUUUGAAGCAGAAGGAUUUUUCUCUUCAAAACAAAGUUUUUCUUCUUGUUGGUGACUGAUAGAAGCAGAUAUCCAUAUGCUUUAUCUUUUUUUGCUUUGUUCCAUGGAGAAUAUAUAUUGUUUGAGUUAUGAAAUUGUAUAUUGCAAAGGUUGCGAUUGCGAAAUUUAAGUUCUGGGAAUUCUACAUACUACCUCCCGAUCAAACCUCAAAUUUUACCAAUAUUAGAGUUGCAUAUAAGAUGGAGAAAACUCGGAAUGCCUCUAAUGGUCGAGGACAUGGUGAAUCAGGUGACUGUUUAUUUUAUUAACAUUUGAUUUUGAAUUGCAGCUCAUGUCUUUUUAUGUUGCUUUUAGGGUCAGUUGUUGUUAUCAAAUUAUUUGUUAGAUUGCUAGAUAAGUCUAUGUUCUGAGUUUGGAGGUGUUUUUAUGUACUUCCUGGCUUCCUGCUUAGUGAUUGCUAUGCCAAUACCACCUCAUAAUAUGCUGAUAUGUGUUUCAAAAUUGUGGAUACAGGUCGGUCAUGCCAAGUUGUACGACCAACUGCAACAAAAGCUAACAUUAAUGAUAGUCCAACUUUACCUGUUAACAUCGUCAAAGAGACUGUUAGCAGAGGAAAUGCAUGCAUACAGGCAAGAGUUUCAGAUACUAGUGAAGAUAAUUUCUCUCCUGUUCUCAAGUUCUCACCUGUGGUUGGAGAUCGUCUCUCUUCUGAGUCAACAAUUGAAACUUGUAGUAGACCUGAGCCCCGUGCUGUGAAACAGGCUGGACCCUUGGAAAAAAACUUUGUUAGAGCGGACCCAAGUUAUCUUCAAACUCUUGGUCAGGCACAUUCUGGAUGGAUUUUUGGUGCAAUAGCUGAGCUUGUUGAUAAUUCAAGGGAUGCUAAAGCAACUAAGUAGGUCAAUUGCUCACAUGUCUACUCUCGUAUUUGUUAGUUAAGUUUUUCUAUUUAUACUAAAUUCACCUAGGUCUUUUUCCUUUUUUUUUUUCGAUUGAAUUAUAUGUAUAAUGGCUUUAUUUUAUUUUAUUUUUCCUCAUUAGAUAGGCUGCUUCUUUCCAUCUAUUUUGGCAGACUUGAGAUUUCUAUUGAGAGCAUCUACUUCAAGAAAGCUGGCAAAGAUAUUCCUAUGCUGUCAAUUAUUGACGACGGCCACGGGAUGACUCAUCAAGAUGUUGUGAGAAUGACAUACUUUGGGCACAAGCAACCUGAUGCUGAUGAUCCAAAUCGUAUCGGAAGAUUUGGUGUUGGAUUUAAGGUUCGCUUGCUUAAUAUUCCAUCUCAGAUUGCCAUUCAAAUUUUGCUCGAUGUUACAUCAUAACAUCUGAUAUUCUUUGUAUUUCAGUUUCAGCUUUGUGGAGGCCCCUCGGCCCAGUUUGUUGCAUUUAUUGGAUGGACUUUGGAGUGCUUUAUUUUCUGUUAAUUGUUGCAAAGUCUAUGGACAAGGGCUUUCCACUGGUUAAAGUACCCAAUACGGGGUUGGUACUUUUACCUGUUGUUGAGUGUUUCUGACAAUUAGUUAGUCUUUUAAUGCAUGGUUCAAUGCCUAUAAUUGGGUGUCAAGAUAAAAGAUGGAAUUCAUUUUUGUUUACCUCAUUUAAUAUUGGUUAAUAGUAUAGGACGAUGAGAGAGAAAAUUCAGGUAUAUACUACCUUUUGCAUUUGAGUUUGCCAGAAUGGAAUUAGAAGUUAAAAAAUACACUAGCUUUCAUGAGUUAUAGUUGAUUUCCUUCAUAUGUCUAGUCAAAAACUUGGAGUGUUGCUCUCACCUUUCCUUGAGGUCUUGCUUAAUGAAAUGUGGACCAAAAGUCUUCAUUGAAAAACAACCCUCUGUGCCCAUCUUUUGACCUCUUCUUUUCAAAUGCAUAAAUAAAUACCAGGCUCUUCUGACAUAACUUGGAUAUUUGCAUGAUGCCUAACGGUUAUCUGGAUAUUUCCUUUUUAGACUGGAGCAAUGAGGCUUGGCAAGGAUGCUCUUGUUCUUACACAGACUGCUGAUUCCAGAUCAAUAGCUUUUCUUUCGCAAUCUUUAAAUCAAGGGAAAGAUGUAUGGAAAUCAUCACCAGAUAUCUGCUUGGUUUUCAUUCAUAUAUUUCUCUUUGCUUGGUUUAUGGCUAUGAACUUGUCUGCUUUAUAAUAGCUUAACUGAAGCUUUUGCUGUUGCAGAAUCUUGAGAUUCCCAUUGUAAGCUACUACAGGAAAGGACAGUUUAUGGAACUUGAUACAGUUGUCCAAUCUGAAGCUACUGCAAAGUACAAUUUGAAAUCUAUCAAAGAAUUUUCACCAUUUAACAAGUAUUUGAUUGGUGAAAAAGCUGGUUUGUUCCAGGAUAAAUGCACUGGAACUCAGAUAUAUAUUUGGAAUUUAGAUCAGUGGGGUUCGAAUUAUUGUCUGGAGUGGGAUAAUGGAUUGAAUGGUGGUAGCUCUUUUCACCAAGGUGACAUACUCAUCCGUUCUAGGAGGAUUAGAUCUCGUCCUGGUCAGAUUAGUCAAAAGGUUGACACCCUCUUACUAAUUUUACAGUUUUUUUAAAAAAAAUUUGUAGCUUAUAUUUUCUUUUCUUUGGUCUAAGGUGCCAUUGGACUAUUCACUUCGAUCUUAUCUAGAAGUCAUCUUCUUAGUUCCACGAAUGAAGAUAUAUGUUCAAGGUUCCUUGGUAAUGCCAUGCCAUCGAGAUCUCUCUGUGUAGCUAGGUAUUAUUCUGCAGUAUCUGCUUGCCUAAUCAAUUUCUUUUGCAAACUUUUCAACUUUAACAGGUUAGAAGUCGACCAUUGGCUAAGUCUCUUAAUAAGACUUGUGUAGAAACUGGUACUAUCAUGGGAAAAUCUGCCCAUUUAACUCUGGGUCGCUGUCAAUUAGAGUGGGAGCAGAUGAAUUGUGGGAUUUUCUUGUAUUGGCAUGGUCGUUUAAUUGAGGUGAGUUUUCAAUUCGUGAUAUGAUAUCACCCCUAAAGUGUUUGCUACCACCUCAUACCAUUUGACUUCAAAGUUUUUUCCUAUUUUUGUAAAUCCUCUUUAGUCACAUUGUGGUUGUUCAUUUAUGUAUUUUGUUCUGAAUACGAUAUGUUUGGAAAUAACCAUUCAUGCUGACUAGUUCGGUUUUUUUUUCUCAUUUCUUAUUUUUUUUAAACAGUAAGUCUGGUUUUCGAAUCUUGAGUAUUAAAUAAUUAAUCAACUGCUGCAGGAGUUCCUUAUUGCAAAUGAACCAUCUUAAAUCUUAUCUUUAUUUGAAUCGAAUUUCUGUUUAUGAACAUUAGCCUUUGUUCUUAAACAUUCUUUUGUU